GAGAAUCGGGGGAAGUAGUGGCAAACGCGUCUACUAGCAAGGCAGGCACAAGUGGUGGAACAAUGCCAACACCAAACAUGCGAACCAUGUGUUGCAUCGUCUGCUCUAGCUCUGCUAUGCAGGUAUUGUAUUCCUAAUCCAGCUUCGCUCAAAGCUCACGUCUGAGUGCCUCUCGCGAUUGAUCAGAUGUAGUGCUGAUAGAGCUACUGGAGCCAUGGGCUGGGUGAAGGUGCAUGCCUCUAAUCCAAGCUCGUUGAUACACAGCUUUUUCUUCCCGCCGAUGACAUCAACGAAUAGCUGCAACAUAUCAACCGGUGGAAGAAUAGAACAACCCUCGCCAGGCUGAGAUAUAGUAGUUGCCCGUGCCUCAAU
rnacentral:lncRNA from 1 species